rnacentral:rRNA from 1 species
GCACUGGCGGCGUGCCUAAUACAUGCAAGUCCAGCGGACCAAUAGAAGCUUGCUUCUGUUGGUUAGCGGCGGACGGGUGAGUAACACGUGGGCAACCUGCCUGUAAGACUGGGAUACCUUCGGGAAACCGGAGCUAAUACCGGAUAAUUCAUCCCCUCGCAUGAGGGGUGCUGAAAGUCGGUUCACGCUGACACUUACAGAUGGGCCCGCGGCGCAUUAGCUAGUUGGUGAGGUAAUGGCUCACCAAGGCGACGAUGCGUAGCCGACCUGAGAGGGUGAUCGGCCACACUGGGACUGAGACACGGCCCAUACUCCUACGGGAGGCAGCAGUAGGGAAUCUUCCACAAUGGACGAAAGUCUGAUGGAGCAACGCCGCGUGAGCGAUGAAGGCCUUCGGGUCGUAAAGCUCUGUUGUUAGGGAAGAACAAGUACCGGAGUAACUGCCGGUACCUUGACGGUACCUAACCAGAAAGCCACGGCUAACUACGUGCCAGCAGCCGCGGUAAUACGUAGGUGGCAAGCGUUGUCCGGAAUUAUUGGGCGUAAAGCGCGCGCAGGCGGUCCUUUAAGUCUGAUGUGAAAGCCCACGGCUCAACCGUGGAGGGUCAUUGGAAACUGGGGGACUUGAGUUGCAGCUAACGCAUUAAGCACUCCNCCUGGGGAGUACGGCCGCAAGGCUGAAACUCAAAGGAAUUGACGGGGGCCCGCACAAGCGGUGGAGCAUGUGGUUUAAUUCGAAGCAACGCGAAGAACCUUACCAGGUCUUGACAUCCUUACGACCUCCCUAGAGAUAGGGAUUUCCCCUUCGGGGGACGGAAGUGACAGGUGGUGCAUGGUUGUCGUCAGCUCGUGUCGUGAGAUGUUGGGUUAAGUCCCGCAACGAGCGCAACCCUUGAUCUUAGUUGCCAGCAUUCAGUUGGGCACUCUAAGGUGACUGCCGGUGACAAACCGGAGGAAGGUGGGGAUGACGUCAAAUCAUCAUGCCCCUUAUGACCUGGGCUACACACGUGCUACAAUGGAUGGUACAAAGGGCAGCGAAACCGCGAGGUCGAGCCAAUCCCAUAAAACCAUUCUCAGUUCGGAUUGCAGGCUGCAACUCGCCUGCAUGAAGCCGGAAUCGCUAGUAAUCGCGGAUCAGCAUGCCGCGGUGAAUACGUUCCCGGGCCUUGUACACACCGCCCGUCACACCACGAGAGUUUGUAACACCCGAAGUCGGUGGGGUAACCUUUAU